GGAAUGUUUAUUCUGGGGGGACGACAUGUCCCUUAUAAAGCAAAAUUACAUCAUAAGCAUUGUCAGAGAUAACAUGGAAUAAUACAUCAAUAAUUGGUUAGGUGUUAAGUGGUUCAUUUAGUGCUCUUCCUACCGGGAGUGAUGUCACUGGUAUGUUGGAGGUCUCCCCCAGAUUCCAGCGCCAUCUUGUUAACAAGGGUGUUAGUCGAUGUUAAAGGGGAAACUCCCUAGCGGCCAUUUUAGGUAAGUCAUAUAGAAAGUUGAAUAAUGCUGAUUAUAGUUAUGUUGAGUAAAUAGGCAUUUUACUAACAUGGAUUGGGUUAAUAUUUUUGUCCACAACAGUCCCCCCUUAAAAUGACUAUUUACGAAAGAGAGAGAGAGAGAGAGAGAGAAGAAAGAGACAACUACUGACUGACCCUAAUGAGGUCCCUGUUUGGCUGCAGCUCAUCUGUCUGAACAGGCCUCGAAUGCUUCACUGCGCAGUUAUCCCGCAGCGACUAACCCACUACAUCUCCUGCAUCAGACUCUUACCCGUAGAGACAGACGCUGUCCCUAUGCUAUCCCUAUAUGGGAAUAGUUGUCUGUUUGAGGUGGUGAGACUGAAGGGGUGUAUGUGGAGUGUCACUGUCCAUAUCAUCGAUAUUCUGAUGUAGGAAUGUGGGUGUAGUGUGGUCAAUAGUCUGGCCUACGGUCUUCUGUAAAUAUUUCUGCACACAGGGCAUUACACAGCAAACUAGGAAGAGAAAGAGAAUUAUCACAGUAAGAACUGCCAUACCUACUUGAAGGAGAGUUUUCUGCCAUCCACUCAUCCAUCCAAACCAUUUGUCCCAUACGUUGGGGACUCCAGAAUUCCUCUUCGUCAGAAAGACUUUCCAGUUUCUCUAUAGCCAUGGUUACCUUACCGUUAGGGCCUGUGUUGUCUGGGAUAAAGGUACAGCAUGUCAUAGUGUCGGGGAGUAUUUUACACACGCCCCCCUUUUCUGCUUGGAUCAUGUCUAAGGCCAUGCGAUUCUGAAAUGUAAAUUUGGGAGGUAGUCUGUAAUUGUUCUGCCAAGCCCUGGAGGGCAUCUCUAGUGUAAUUGACAAAUCGUUGUUGGUUAUAGUAGAUAUAAUUGAUCCAAUUAACAUGCUUGAUAGCGGUGAUGAGUGGGAUCAAGGAUUCGAAUCCUGCCGCAACCUCAUCUCUGGCUUUGAACUCAUUUGGUACUCCAAUGGCAUCGAUAUAUAUGUGUGGGUCGAAACUACCUCGAAUGGGGGUUUCUCUUUUUACUCUAAGAUACAUAUGUGGUGAAUCGUGUGGGCCUUGGUGAUUAUCAGAAAUUAUAUGUAUGGGCAUGAUAACUUUGGUCAGAGCACAUUCUCCCCACCACAGGCCAGUCAUUUUUUAUCUAAGUUGCAUGUCACCACAUAGCCAAUAAAUAUCUCCCACAGACUUAACUUGGUUCACUAAUAGGGCAGUGGGAGGUUCUCGAUAAGUGGUACAGUAGCCAGAAGGGAAUUUACCUACAAAUUUACCUGUGGCUCCAUGUAUUGUAUAGCAAGUGUAGUUACCUGGGUACGCGGUGACUCCAUCAGGUGGCUUGGUAUUUCCUUGGGUUAUUGGGUAAACCUUUUUCCAUGACACACACUGAGUUCACUGCUGUUUGCGCAUAGAGGCUUAAGAAACACGUCUCAACAUCAGUGGGUAAAUUUAAAGGCACUGUACCCAGAUGUGGCCUGGCCCCACCACAAACAUAACAGUUAGUUUUGUUGUGAGAAUUAGCAUUAUACCUCAUCCAUUCAAGCCAUAGAUUAGUAUCUGAAAACCCGGUCUCGACAGCCAUAGUGUCUUCAAAUGUAGGAUUGGCAAUGGCUACCAUGUCUUUAAGGGUUUUAAUGUGUGGUUUUAGAGGGUUAAUGGUCAUGUGUGUGGAGCCUGCCCAGUCAGGUGAUGUAAGCAUGUCUUGUAAGUAGAAGGUCCCCAACUUGUUAUGUGAGCCACCCCCUUUAUAAUACAUUCCCAUUACGUAUUCCCCAGCAUCUCUUGGGCUGGGAUGUUCUAUGUUUAAGGUUAGCUUCAUUGGGGUAGACCCGGUUGGCUUACACAAGGUCAUUCUGUAUAACAAGGGUUUCCCAUAUCUGUCAAUUUGGUCUAAGGCACUUUGUGGUCUGUAGCCCCAUGGUCAGCCCGUAUUCCAACCCGCCGCUUUCCAGUGAUGUCCCCAACGGUCACCUGUCACACAAAUAUAUGGGUCCUUUUUAUUUGGUAUGUCUUUUUAUAUUGCUGAGUGUUGUGAUUGUGGGAAAGUACAAGAGACAAUAUCACAGUAAUCAAAGGUAAAAGUAGCAACGUGUGUGUUUGAAGAAUUAUACCAAAAUGUGUAAACAUGAUUGUCUUUAGUAGUAGCAACUUGUUGAGCAUUUAAGAAGCCUAGCAGCAGACAUAGGUAUAGCAAGCUCAUGAUUUGGCGGGAUCCGCUUCUUCUGGAUCAGGAACUUUCUUGCAGUGUGAAGCGUGUAUCCAGGUAUUCUUCCCGGCCAACUUUACAGAGGUAGAUGUAGUCAAUAGGACUUGGAAUGGACCAUCGAACCUUGGCUCAAGAGUGUGUUUUCUUAGAAACUUCUUGACCAUGACCCAGUCACCAGGAAGUAACUUAUGUGUGCCUGUAUUUGACUCUGGAUCUGGAAUAGAAGAAAACACAUGUGCAUGGAUUUUGGUCAAGGCAUGAGAGAGUGAGUUAUAUAAUCUACCAUUGCAUCUGACUGAAGUUGAAGUUGCUGAGGAAAGUAACAGCCUAACCUGGGUGCUGUCUCAAAUAAGAUUUCAUAGGGGGAUAAGUUAAACUUCCCUCUUGGGGUGUACCUUACACUAAACAGAGUGUCAUUCAUGCGUUCUACCUUACCACUACUCUGUGGGUGAUAGGGUGUGUGGAAUGCAAGGGUCAUCCCCAGUGUUGCCCAGAUCUCCUCGGUUAGCAACACGGUGAAGGAUGUACCCUGGUCCCUUUCGAUUACUUCGGGAACUCCGUAUCUGCAGAUGAUUUCGGUAAGUAGACGUUUUGCUGUGGUCUUUGCAGUGAGAUUAGCGACCGGAAAAGCUUCUGGCCAACCUGAAAACAUAUCCACUAUGACCAGUGUGUAUUCAUACCAUCCACUCUUUGGCAUUUGGAUAUGAUCAAUUUGGAUCCUUUGGAAAGGGUACUGUGGUUUGGCCAAAUGGUUUGGUGCAGCCUUGAUUAUUUUUCCUGGGUUACAUUUGGCGCAGAUGGUGCAGGACCUGCAGUAAUUUCGUGUCAAGGUGGUGAUUCAGGGUGCUUCAAAAUAUUUAUCAAUCAAGGAAUUCAUGAGGUGUGAGCUGGUCCAUGGGCCCACUGAACAACAGCUGGAUACAUAUUCUUGGGUAGGCAGAAUUUAAGAUUGGUUGUGUAUAUGUCAUUCUGGAGGGUUGCUCGUUUGUCUUUCCAGCUUUGUUUUUCUUGUGGAGUGGCGGCUGCCUGUUGUUCUCUUAGGAGCUUGAGAUCAGUGGGUAGGGUUUGCAUAGUAUAAAUAGGAGUCUUCUCGACGGACACUCUUCUGUCCACUUCCCGACACUGGCGCGCUGCAUCCUUAGCGGCCUGGUUGGCUAAAUGGUUGCCAUGUGCUUCUUCUGAAUUUAGUCUUCCGUGGGCCUUCACCUUCAGUAUGGCCACCUCUUCAGGAAGUAGUAAGGCAUCCAUCAAUUCGUUGAUAGCUGCACCAUGUUUCACGGGAGUACCUGUUGCUGUAAGGAACCCCCUGGUUUUCCAGAUUAAGCCAAAGUCAUGUUCCAUGCCCAGGGCAUAUCUUGAGUCUGUAUAAAUAUUAACACGUUUCCCUUCAGACAUCUUGCAUGCCACCAUGAGAGCUAUUAGUUCGGCUUCUUGUGCUGACUUAGAUGAUGGAAGUGCAGAUGCUUGGAGUAUUUGGUCCUCUGUGGUGACUGCAUAUCUGGUAUGGUAUUGUCCCUGCGCAUCUGCGAAUCUAGAACCAUCCACAAACAGAGUGUAGUCAGGGUCAGUUAGAGCAGCUUCGUGCACUGUUUGGAGAUGGGUUGUUUCCAUUUUCAUCUGUUCAAAGCAAUCAUGAGGAGAGUCCGGGUCUUGUUCUGUGGGAGGAAUAUCUUCACAUAUCUCUGUGUGAUAUCGAGGGUAAACGACAGUUUUGCAAUUUAUGGUCUUUUUAGUGACCCCCGUCACUGUCAGUUGUUCCUGAGUUGCAGUACUCCAUGUAUUGGCCAUUGGGCCGAGUUCUUUCCAUGAGAGAUCUUGAGACUUUGUGAAAGAGACAUGAGGAACAGCCACCUCCCAAUGGUGAUACAAAUGUGAUACCUCAAUAGGCAGGUAGACUAAGAUAACAAUGUUUCCUUUGGAGUCACAGAACAGGUCUGUUAGUGUGAUUUGUAUUCCACCAGGCUGAAUAAUUCUUCUUCAUAGUAUGGGUCAGGACCUGGGGUGUCCCGGAACCACAGGGUGCAAUGUAAUUGGGUCUCGGGCUGUUCAUCAUGUGGAACUGUGGUUGUUUCGACUUGAAGUUUCAUGUGAACAUUGGGAUUUAUGUCCAGGCUGUACCAGUAUUGCGGCACUCCCCCCUUGGGAAGUGGCAGAAGAGUGGCCGGAUUCAAGGAGUAACAUCUUUGUAAAGAAACAUUAUCCGGCAAGAGGAGGCAGGUUUGAAGGCGGAGAUGUCUUUGACAUGAAAGAUGCUUUAGUUGGACUUGAUUCAGGAUUGCAGCGAUGUCAUGGGGAGCAAGAACCGUCAGUUUAGGUCCGAGAACAAAGUUGUUCAUUUUGUCCAGUAGGGCACUUGCAGCAAAGACAGCACACAAACAGGAAGGACGAUCCCUGGCUACGGGGUCUAGCAUGCAUGAGAAGUACCCAAUAGGGCGCUGACGGGAACAGUGGGAUUGAGUAAGGACCCCGGAAGCAUGGCCCAUCUUCUCUGAGACGAAGAGUUUGAACGGUAAUUGGUAGUUGGGUAGGCCCAAAGCAGGGGCGGAGGAGAUUGCUCUUUGAAGAGCAUGGUAACAGCUGUGGGUUGUAGAGGACAAUGAGAAAGGUUCAGUAUUUAAGGCAUCAUAGAGAGGUUGCAUGAGUUGAGAAGCCUCAGGGAUCCAAGAUCUGCAGUAUGUGAUGAGGCCCAAGAAGGCAUGAAGGGCCUGAUGGUUAGAUGGAAGGGAGAGAUUUGUAAUAGCAAGAACUCUGUUUCUCAUUAGGUAACGGGUGACAUGGGAAAGGCAAUGUCCCAAGAAGACCACAGAGGGCCGGCACCACUGGAGUUUCGUCUUGGAGGCUUUACAACCUUCAUCAGCGAGGAAACAAAGGAGAUCCACAGAAUUUUGUUCAGCAGUCGAAAGAUCAUCUGCACAGAGAAGUAAAUCAUCAACGUACUGGAGCAGGACCACGUCUGGGUGGGACUUCUGCCAGGGUUCAAGUACAGUUGACAUAGCUUUGGCGAAUUGGGUUGGGGGAUUUUGUGCACCUUGAGGCAUGACAGUCCAUGUAUAUUGUUGCCGGUCGUAUGUGAAAGCAAACAGAUAUUGGCAAGAGGGAUCCAAGGGCACGCUGAAGAAGGCAUUUGCAAGAUCAACCACUGUGAAAAAUUUAGCUGUUGGAGGAACCUGUGACAACAGUGUAUGUGGAUUAGGGACAACUGCAGUAUCGCGGUUGGUGACCUCAUUAACAGCACGGAGGUCCUGGACCAUACGGUAUUGGUCUGGUUGACCUUUUUCAGUUUUCUUCUUUACUGGAAAGAAGGGGUGUUACACUGAGAAACACAUUUGACUAAUGCACCUUUUGCCAACAGGCUAUCAACUUGUUUGGAGAUGGUGAGAGCUUGUGCAGGUUUCAAUGGGUACUGUGGUCUUCGUGGUGGAUUAGCUCCUUUGAUUAGUGUAACCACCACAGGUGGGACUCGUAGGCGUCCAAUAUCAUCUGGACCGGUAGACCAAAGCUUAGUUGGAACGUUAUCCAGGGCACUGGGGGCGUCUGGAACCCUUGCUUCCUUGGUGGGGGAUGUCAUGUGUAAGAGUAGGGGCAAAGAGCAAAGGACGGAAGUAUCUUUGCGGGAAAGUGGGGUAAGUAAUUGAACCUGGCCAUCAGCAGUAAAGGAGAUAGAAGCUUGAAGACAAGACAGAACAUCAGCUCCUAAGAGGUUAAUGGGACAAGUGGAUGAGACAACAAAUCGAGAGAGAAUGUCAGAACCAACCCACAAGAGCUUGGUUAAUGGGUUGUUUCUGGGGGUACCAUCAAUGCCUACACAAGAAACAUCGGUGUCAGAUAGGUAAGAAGGAUCAGGCAGGUCUUGUUCUCUGAGAACACUGCGGGCUGCACCUGUGUCAACUAAGAAGGUAGUAGGAUGACCCUCAACUGGUAAUACAACUGUAGCUAGGGGUCCACCCUUGUCCCCUGUAGACACUGCCAUGACGGGGCGUCAGACACAGGUUUGCCGGUUACCUAUUGUACAAGGUCUAGAUAAGAUUGAUCAGGGCCAGUGUAAUGACGUGCUGGUGUAGUUGAGUGGCUUGCCUAAUGGUUUUGACAUAUAGGGCAAUAAUGACUCGGUGCUGGGUGAUCAUCUUAUUAGAAAUCAUCUGUAUCGUAACUAUCAGGGGAAGGGUGAGCAUAAUUAUGGGGUGGGUGAGUAUUAAGUUGAGAGGGUUGAUAGAUGGCCUGGACGUAAUCCUGAGGAGGGUAAUAUGGUGCAUGUGUCUGAGGAUAUACCUGUGGAGGGUAACCUUGUUGGAGACCACCAUACGCGGCCGCAGGGGCAUUGGGGUACAUAGGGGGUCUAGUGGUCGGCUGUCUAGGCACCCUUGGGUGUGGGCAAUCUCUCCGGAAAUGGCCUGGUUGGUUACAAUUAAAGCAUGCCUUGGUCUGAGGCUUAGGUGUCAUGUGCUGCCCCUGUGCAGCUGGCAGGGUAGAUAACGUGGGAUAACUUUGGAGCACCUGGGCGGGUCUGGUAGCAGGGCUAGAAGAGGAAAACAUGAGAUGAUUACUUUUCCUUUGGGGUGGCUGUAGAACAGAUUCUAGGCCCUUUGCAACUAGCAAGAGAGUGUCCAAAGGAAUAAUUCUGUAUUCGGGGCGAGAAAGCACUAAGCCUUUCCUGAUGGGUUCCUUAAGGCCAGCCACAAAGGCAGCGGAUAACAUCUGGGUAUGUGCUUUGUUAUAUACACUGAAUCCGAGAGCGGAGAAAGUUUGAGUCAACCUUGAAUGGUAUUUUUCCUCAGAUUUGAGUUUGUCUUGUAUAAUAUCAUUUAUACAAGUGGCUUGGUCAGCUAGUUUAUUCUGGGCCCAGGCCCGAAGUUGUUCACAGAAUGUAAUACCCGACUGGAAAUCCAUAUCGGUAGUGAGGACAACAUCAUUAAAACUCCUUUCCAUGAUGGGCCAGUAGGCAUCCCCAGCCUUGAUCUCACACAGACUAUACAGAUCACGCCAGGCUGCUGAGUAUGUCUUAUGAAUCUGGGCAAUCCUCCGGAAGAAGGGCAUGGGCUGUUUCUCAGGGUCGGGAAGAGAGGUUACUAGGGUUGCAGCUUGGGACGGGUUGAAAGUAACAUACAUCGGUGGAGCCCCUUCCACUGUUGAUAGAGCAGGGAUGUGGGUGGCUGGGAUGGCCUGUCUCUGGGAAACCCUAUUAUUCGAAGGACGGAAUGGGCUAAGCCCUUGCACAUUGUCAUCCUCGGGGAGAACUGGGAAUGGGAGACCAUGAUAGCUGGCAACAACAGGUAAAAUGGGGGCUUGGGCGGCUGGAGCAUCGGAGCCGGGAGAACCGACAGCGAUGGCCUGGGGAGUAACUAACUGAGAGGUAGUGGGAUGGAAACCUGAUACGACAGGAGAAGCGCCUACAGCAUGAGGUUGUCCCGACACGGUAGAUUCAUUUGACCCAACGAUCAUGAUUGGGUAACUGGGAGUUGCCAUGGGAGAGGCGGGGACGGGAGCUGGACUGGGUGAGGAUGCGGGCUGAGUAGGCUGAGGGAGAUGAGUGGAGAGGGCGGAGAUGAGUGUCGAAAGAUCGAGGAAGGAAAUAACAGGAUUAGAGGUGGGAAGAGGAGAGGAAUCCGGAACAGGGACAGAAGGGGUGGUGGGGAGAGAAGAGGUAGGAGCAGGAGUAGGGGAAACAGCAAGGGAAGCAGAGAGGGCGGAAAUGAGUGACGGAAGGUCGAAGGAGGGAGGGGUAACAGGAGUUGAGGUGGGAAGAGGAGAGGAAUCUGGAAUGAGACCAGAAGGGCUGGAAGGGGGUGGAGAGGAAGGAGCAGGAGUAGGGGGAAUGGCAAGAGAGGCAGAGAGGGCGGAAAUUAGUGACGGAAGGUCGAAGGAAGGAGGGGUGACAGGAUUAGAGGUGGGAAGAGGAGAGGAAUCUGGAAGAGGGACAGAAGGGGUGGAAGGGAGAGGAGAGGUAGGAACAGGAGUAGAGGGAAUGGCAAGAGAGGCAGAGAGGGUGGAAAUGAGUGCCGGAAGGUCGAAGGAGGGAGGAGUGACAGGAUUAGAGGUGGGAAGAGGAGAGGAAUCUGGAACAGGGACAGAAGGGGUGGAGGGGAGAGGAGAGGUAGGAACAGGAGUAGAGGGAAUGACGAGGGAAGAGGGGGAUAUGGAUGCAACAGGGGGAACCACGGGGGAAGGCGAGAGAGGAACGGGAGCAGAAGGAACAACAGGGAGAGGGACUAGAGGGGUAUCAGGGGAGACAGUACAUAAAGGAGGAAGGGAAACAGGAAUAGGAGGAAUAGGAGGAAUGGUAGAGGAAGAUGUGAGAGGGACGGCGUCGGAAGAAGUGGUGGAGAGAGGUAGCAGAGGGACGGCAUCAGUAGCGAUAUGAGAGAGUGGAAGAGGGGCGGUAUCGGUGGGGAGUGGGAGGGGGACAGGGAGUGGGAGUGGGAGGGGGACAGGGAUAAUGGGAAGUGUGAAGGUAGACGGGAGAGGGAUGGGGUAAUAAUAGGCUCUGUCCGCCCCGAGAACGGGGUACAGAGGGGUGGGAACAGGAGGGCCUUUGACAAUUGGAGGUGGAGACUGGGCAGUGUCUGGGGAGGCGGGGCGAGGUUCAUUCACGGCAUUCUGGGCGCCAUCAUAGGGCAGUGGCCGGGGAACAACAAGAGAUGAAUCAUCAUUAGAAACAUUUCUGUGAUAUACAUAAAUCGCUUGUCCUUCAAAAUCAAUUUCUUCCUCUGACCAACCCUCCCGCUUGAGUCCUCUCGCUACCCGAUACCAAGCCUCUACGGCUUUUGUCAACCCAUUAUUCAAUAGUAAGCCCUCUUUAUCAAUGAGCAAUUUCCUCCAAAACUCUGGCUGCAAUCUACCACUUGGUGACAUUUGAAAACCACAAAUCUUUGCUAUCUUCUUUAUUUUUAACAUAGCCUCCUCUCCUGCUCUCUCCUUAACGAUAUCACAGGCUAAAUAACCUUUUGAAGGUCUGGCAUGUUCUUGUCCCAUUUUUACCAAACAAGGUUUUCCCCGUAAGAGGGACAGAGAUAGAGAGAGGAAAAAGAAGGAAUUUCUACAGUGCUCGACUGCCACGAGGAAUUGAUCCCUGUGCAUCUUCCCCAAACGUAGACGAGUCACAGGAUCCGCCCACCCGAGAUGGUGGCCACGGAUCUGAGCGAGUGAGUGUGGGUGACUAACACAGCUCUGGGCAACAAGUACAGAAGAGGUAGAGGAUGAGGGAAACGGUGAACGUGGAGAGAUUAAUCAGAAGACAUUUACAGGAGUCACAGAUGUAGAGAUGUGCACAUAAUCCGGAAUCGAGGACGAGCCACACAGCACACACACACACACACAACGAGGGUACCCACACUAUGACUACAACUGAAUAGAAAUCAUAAUAUAACAAAGAACAGUAAAACUACGAACAUAGUAGUAACUAAACAAUAAAUGAACCCUGUUCUACUCUGAACAGUACAGCAAAAUUCCCAGCCUUUCUCUAAGCGGAUGCAUUCCAUGCCCGCUAGGCAGUCAAGUCACAAUAUAUCCCCAGCCUUUCUCUAGGCAGUUCCCAGCCCUUUACCGGGCGGACAAUACUCCCAGCCUUUUACUAGGCGGCUCCCAGCCCUUUACCGGGCGGACAAUACUCCCAGCCUUUCUCUAGGCGGCUCCCAGCCCUUUCCCGGGCGGAUGCGUUCCCUGCCCACUAGGCAGUCAAGCUAUGAUAAUAAUAAAUCACAAACCACACACCAGCUGUCUCACACACACAAACAUUCAGGAGGCAGAUAGACAAUCGACAGGUUCGUUUUAAAAGGCACCGGAUAAGAGAUUACCUGUCUUGUAGCCUUCUGGAAGCCGGAAGUGGACACGGAGACAGACCGACACAAAACAGGAGAAUACAGGCAAACCGCCUGUAUUUAGGUCUGCUCCGGUCCCGUUUUCCGUCCGUCCGAACCGGCGAGAUCUGGUGCCCCACGUUGGGCGCCAAAUGAUGUGGAAAUCAAUCAAUAAAUUUAUUAUCUUGCGUAUCUGCCCCCGGCCAAAUUAAAGAAAUAAUGUGUGCACGCUCCUAAAGUAAUUCACACCAGACACAAGUUUCAGGUUAAUGAAAAACUUGAGGAAUGUUUAUUCUGGGGGGACGACAUGUCCCUUAUAAAGCAAAAUUACAUCAUAAGCAUUGUCAGAGAUAACAUGGAAUAAUACAUGAAUAAUUGGUUAGGUGUUAAGUGGUUCAUUUAGUGCUCUUCCUACCGGGUGUGAUGUCACUGGUAUCUUGGAGGUCUCCCCCAGAUUCCAGCGCCAUCUUGUUAACGAGGGUGUUAGUCGAUGUUAAAGGGGAAACUCCCUAGCGGCCAUUUUAGGUAAAUCACAUAGAAAGUUGAAUAAUGCUGAUUAUAGUUAUGUUGAGUAAAUAGGCAUUUUACUAACAUGGUUUGGGUUAAUAUUUUUGUCCACAACAGUUAUCUUCUUUUAAAUUGCAGAUAGAAGAUCCAAGUGAUUGAGCAACAGAAAACGUUAAAAUAUUUGGGUUACUU